rnacentral:hammerhead_ribozyme from 1 species
AUCCAACUGACGAGUCCCAAAUAGGAUGAAACGCGAAAAUCGUGGAU